rnacentral:rRNA from 1 species
GACGAACGCUGGCGGCGUGCUUAACACAUGCAAGUCGAACGGAAAGGCCUGCUUUCCCUUGUGGAUUGCGGGUACUCGAGUGGCGAACGGGUGAGUAACACGUGAGUGAUCUGCCCCCAACUUGGGUAUAAGCCUGGGAAACUGGGUCUAAUUUCCGAUAGGACUGCAGGGUGGUGCCUGUGGUGGAAAACGAUUUUCUAGUGGUUGGGGAUGAGCUCGCGGCCUAUCAGCUUGUUGGUGGGGUAAUGGCCUACCAAGGCGGCGACGGGUAGCCGGCCUGAGAGGGUGGACGGCCACAUUGGGACUGAGAUACGGCCCAGACUACUACGGGAGGCAGCAGUGGGGAAUAUUGCACAAUGGGCGGAAGCCUGAUGCAGCGACGCCGCGUGGGGGAUGACGGCCUUCGGGUUGUAAACUCCUUUCGACCGCGAGGAAGCCACCUGGUUGGAAGGGUGGUGACGGUAGUGGUAGAAGAAGCACCGGCUAACUACGUG